rnacentral:tRNA from 1 species
GCCGGGGUGGCGGAAUCCGGUAACGCGCCGGUCUCGAGAACCGGUUUCCUUCGGGAAUUUAGGGUUCAAAUCCCUACCCCGGCG